AAAAUUGUUUCAUAUUUUGGUUUAAGGGUUGAACAGAAAGUGUUGUGUUUCUGGAACUAGUUAAGGAUAUGACGAUAUUUAAAAUGUGAAUUCUUCUAGACCUUCUAUUGUAUAAUUUAAUUAUGAUAAUGAAUGGAACGCUAUUAAAAAGUGAGGAAACAGUGCAGAAUGAAUCUAAAAUCACAUAGAAUAUCAUUCAGAAGAGUCAAACCAAACUAAAAAAGAUGAUUCGAAAACAUAUCCAAGAAAGAUGUGAGUUGUCAAGUUGGAAUCGAGAUACGAUGAAAAAGAUAUUUUCAGUUCCUAGCAAAAAUUGCUUUAUUUUUAUAAAGCGUUGAUUACUGCAAGCCCUAUUUCAAUAUGUCUAAUAAUUGUCAACAGUAUUUGGUGAAAAGCUUUUUUAACUGAUAAAAAUUUCUUUCCUUGAUGAUGUUUCAUAAUUUUUAAUAUUAAAAAUUAUAGGUUCUUUUUGGGUCUUACGGGAUAAACAAAAUGUUUAAACA